rnacentral:tRNA from 1 species
UGGCUCAGUGGUAGAGCAUGGUGUGUGCAACGCCAGGGUUGUGGGUUCGAUUCCCAU